rnacentral:lncRNA from 1 species
CGAAUUCCCGAAUUCCCAAAUUCCCAGUGCCACCACUCCCGGGGAUCCUGGGCUGAGGGAAAACGGGGGGAGCCGGCCCUGGGCGAGGGGCGGCCCCAAAAUCAAGGCACAGGGAAUGGGAAUGGUUUGGGAUGGGGCUGGUUUUGGGAUUUGUGCAUCCCUCAGGAUUUGGGAACACCCAGAUCCCAAUGGGAAUGGUUUGGGAUGGGGCUGUUUUGGGAUUGGCACAUACCUUGGAUUUGGGAACACGCGGAUCCCAAUGGGAAUGGUUCGGGAUGCAGCUGGUUUUGGGAUUUGUGGAUGCACAGAUCCCAAUGGGAAUGGUUCGGGACGGGGCUGGUUCUGGGAUUGGUGCAUCCCUCUGGAUUUGGGAAUGCACAGAUCCCAAUGGGAAUGGUUUGGGAUGGGGCUGGUUUUGGGAUUGGCGCGUCCCUCUGGAUUUGGGAGCACACAGAUCCCAAUGGGAAUGGUUUGCAUGGGAAUGGUUCGGGAUGGGGCUGUUUUGGGGUUUGUGCAUCCCUCAGGAUUUGGAAAUACACAGAUCCCAAUGGGAAUGGUUUGAGGAAUGGGAAUGGAUCGGGAUGGGGCUGUUUUGGGAUUUGUGCGUCCCUCUGCAUUUGGGAACAGGUGGAUCCCAAUGGGAAUGGUUUGAGAAAUGGGAAUGGUUCUGGGAUUUGUGCAUCCCUCUGGAUUUGGGAACACCCAGAUCCCAAUGGGAAUGGUUCGGGAUGGGGCUGUUUUGGGGUUUGUGCACCCCUCAGGAUUUGGGAACACUCAGAUCCCAAUGGGAAUGGUUUGAGGAAUGGGAAUGGUUUGGGAUGGGGCUGUUUUGGGGUUUGUGUGCCCCUCAGGAUUUGGGAAUACACAGAUCCCAAUGGGAAUGGUUUGAGGAAUGGGAAUGGAUCGGGAUGGGGCUGUUUUGGGAUUUGUGUGUCCCUCUGCAUUUGGGAACAGGUGGAUCCCAAUGGGAAUGGUUUGAGGAAUGGGAAUGGUUCUGGGAUUUGUGCAUCCCUCUGGAUUUGGGAACACCCAGAUCCCAAUGGGAAUGGUUUGGCAUGGGGCUGU